UUUGAGAGUUUGAUCCUAGCUCAGGGUGAACGCUGGUAACGUGGAUACCGGCAUGCAAGUCAAGGGGCCCCGUAGCAAUGCGGGGAACCGGCGAACGGCUUAGUAACACGUAGAUACAUACCCAAAAGUGGAACAUAGCUCGUCGAAAGACGGGGUAAUUUUCCAUAGUCCUGCAAAGGUAAAGACGCAAGUCGCUUUUGGAAUGGUCUGCGGCCUAUCAGCUUGUUGGUGAGGUAAUGGCUCACCAAG
rnacentral:rRNA from 1 species